AUUGAACGCUGGCGGCAUGCUUUACACAUGCAAGUCGAACGGUAACAGGCCUUCGGGUGCUGACGAGUGGCGAACGGGUGAGUAAUGCAUCGGAACGUACCCAGAGGUGGGGGAUAACGCAGCGAAAGCUGUGCUAAUACCGCAUGUGAUCUGAGGAUGAAAGCGGGGGACCGAGCAGCAAUGUUUGGCCUCGCGCCUUUGGAGCGGCCGAUGUCGGAUUAGCUAGUUGGUGGGGUAAAGGCCUACCAAGGCGACGAUCCGUAGCUGGUCUGAGAGGACGACCAGCCACACUGGGACUGAGACGCGGCCCAGACUCCUACGGGAGGCAGCAGUGGGGAAUUUUGGACAAUGGGCGCAAGCCUGAUCCAGCAAUGCCGCGUGCGGGAAGAAGGCCUUCGGGUUGUAAACCGCUUUUGGCAGGAACGAAACGGUGUCCGCUAAUACCGGGCGCUAAUGACGGUACCUGCAGAAUAAGCACCGGCUAACUACGUG
rnacentral:rRNA from 1 species